AUGAGUGUUUUCAAGCUCCCUGCUUCGGUCUGUGACGAGUUGACUCAUAUGAUACGUCAAUACUGGUGGGGAGUGGAGAACGGGAAGAAAAAGAUGGCUUGGAUGAGCUGGGACAAACUGAGUCUCCCUAAAUCCAUGGGUGGCAUGGGGUUUAGGGACAUGAGGGCUUUUAACCAAGCCUUGUUAGCAAAACAAGCAUGGUGA
rnacentral:rRNA from 1 species